rnacentral:rRNA from 1 species
GGGGGAAUAUUGGACAAUGGGGGAAACCCUGAUCCAGCAAUGCCGCGUGAGUGAAGAAGGCCUUAGGGUUGUAAAGCUCUUUCAGCAGGGACGAUGAUGACGGUACCUGCAGAAGAAGCCCCGGCUAACUCCGUGCCAGCAGCCGCGGUAAUACGGAGGGGGCUAGCGUUGUUCGGAAUUACUGGGCGUAAAGAGCACGUAGGCGGUUGAUCUAGUUAGGCGUGAAAGCCCUGGGCUUAACCCAGGAACUGCGCUUAAUACUGGUCAACUUGAGGCCGGGAGAGGGUGGUGGAAUUCCCAGUGUAGAGGUGAAAUUCGUAGAUAUUGGGAGGAACACCAGUGGCGAAGGC